rnacentral:lncRNA from 1 species
GUUCUCUCCAAACAUUAUGCUAAAAAAAACAUAUAUCUUUGUUAUUAACAAAAACUCAGCAUUAAAUAACCCAAUCUAUAAAAUAACCAAUAAUUUUUCAUUUCUUUUACAUGAUCAGAUUUUAUACAAGGAAAAAAAUAAAAACAAUACUUUGUCCUCUUCAGUACCAAACCAAACAAUCUAUAUUUGAAUUAUUGUACAGCUAGAUGAACUAGAGGCUCUAAAGAGCCUGUGUCGCUCACCUUUAUUAGCUGAUGCUUUGGAAAUCAUGUAAAAUAAGGUUAAAAUCAUAAUUUAUAGUAUAAGAUAUCAUUAGAUACUAUAAUAAUAUCUAAGAAAAUAGCAAAAAACUGCAAAAUUUCCAUAAAAUUACUAACUCAGGGGCAGCAACCCAACAACUGGUUGUUGGAUUUUUCUGAAAAUUUCAGGGCAGAUAUAUACAAUUGUGAUGAAUAUUUUUGCCACAAGUCAGAAUGCUCUAAAUGCUUCAGUUUCAGAGAUAUAAACCACAAACUGCAUUUUACCCUAUGUUCUAUUUUAAGCCAUGUCUGCCAUCUUGGUUCACGAGGCAGGGUCAUUGGACACAUUUUUAAAACUAAAUUAUCUUAUGAUGAUUGUGGACAAGUUUGGUUACAUUUUGUCUUAGCAGUUUCAGAGGAGAAGAUUUUUGUAAAAGAUUACAAAAAUUUAAGAAAAAUUGGUAAAAUUGACUAUAAAGGGCAAUAACUCCUAAAGGGGUCAACUGACCAUUUUGGUCAUUUCACUUAUUUGUAGAUCUUACUUUGCUGAACAUUAUUGCUGUUUACAGUUUAUCUCUAUCUACAAUAAUAUUCAAGAUAACCAAAAACGGCAAAAAUUCCUUAAAAUUACCAGUAAGGGGUAGCCACCCAACAACCAGUUGUCUGAUUCAUCUGAAAAUUUCAGGGCAGAUAGAUUUUGAAUUGAAAAACAAUUUACAACACGUCAGAUUGCUAUAAAUGCUUUGGUUUCAGAGUUAUAAGCCAAAAUCUAUAUUUUACCCCUAUGUUCUAUUUUUAGCCAUGGUGGCUAUCUUGGUUUGCUGGCUGGGUCAAUAGACACAUGUUUUAAACCAGAUACCCCAAUGAUGAUUGUGGACAAGUUUGGUUAAAUUUGUCUUAGUAUCUCAGAGGAGAAAUUAUUUCUAAAAGAUUACAAAAAUUUACGAAAAAUUGUUAAAAAUUGACUAUAAAGGGCAAUAACUCAUUAAGCGGUCAAUUGACCAUUUUGAUCAUGUUGCCGUAUUUAUAGAUCUUACUUUGCUGAACAUUAUGCCGGUUUAUAGUUUACCUCUAUCUAUAAUAAUAUUCAAGAUCAUAACAAAAAACGGUGAAAUUUCCUUAAAAUUACCAAUUUAGGGACAGCAACCCAACAACAGGUUCUCUGAUUUGUCUGAAAAUUUCAGAGCAAAUAGAUCUUGACCUGAUAAACAAUUUCACCCCUGUCAGAUUUGCUGUAAAUGCUUUGGUUUCAGAGAUAUAUGCCAAAAUCUACAUUUUACCCCUAUCUUCUAUUUUUAGCCAUGGUGGCCAUUUUGGUUGGUUGGCCAGGUCACCAGACACAUUUCUUAAACUAGAUACCCCAAUGAUGAUUGUGGCCUAGUUUGGUAUAAUUUGGCCCAGUAGUUUCAGAGGAGAAGAUUUUUGUAAAAGUAAAGGACGACGACGGGCGACAGACACAAAGUGAUGAGAAAAGCUCACUUGGCCCUUCGGGCCAGGUGAGCUAAAAAUGAAUACAUUACACCCUUUAGAUGUUUCUAUUUCUAUUUUCUAAAAUGUUUCCAUUCACUCAAAUCAAGUGAGAUGAUUUUUUCUUAGUGUAGAAAUAGAAAGCAGAGACAUCAAUCAUAUGUCUUUGGUUAUGCCUAGGAAAUUAGUUCUAUAAUAAACAGAUCAUUAUUGAUUUUUGAAACUUAAUACAAUUUACAUAUCCUCAUCACAUUUAUAGGGAUGAUGCCUUUGAUGAGAGGAAGAAUGGGAAAAUGUAUUGAAUUUAAACAAAACAACAUACAUAAUCUAGACCUAUCAGGUAUACCAUAUCCUUUCUUUUUCUAGUUUGUCUUCAUUUAAUCAAAAACUUCAAAACAUAUUAUAUUUAAUUAUUUAUAAAUUUUCAGUAGUUGUAUUUCAAGCAAUUCAGAUGAAGGUCCAUUUAAGUCAAAAGAAAACAUAAAAGGUUCAGUUCUAUAUUCAAACUUUAAGUUUGAUAGAACUAGAGAGUCAAACUCUGUUAGUGUCAAGUUGAUUCCUGACUGAUCUAAAUAGUCUCAGCUUACUUCCCUUUAAUUAGGUUGGCAAUCUGAUUUAAAAUGUCAUCAGGUGAGUUAGAUAAUAUUUUGUAGUGUCCUGACAUAACCAUAAUUAUUUAACUUGAAAAAAGUUCAAACACCAAACCAUCUACGCAUUUAUUCUUCUAUAAAAGAGAUAUGAGUAUAUUAGUUACAAAUUUCAAAAUAAAUCUGGUAUCAUAAAGAAAUGCUUUGUUUGUAUUACAGCAGGAAAAAAGGAAUUUUUCAAUGAUUUGUUAUAGUGUUGUCUGUUAAUUAGGGUGGGGUCCAAUCUUCUUGAAAAUGCUAGUUCGAAGGUAGUGUUAUGUCAUUUGGUUAAUAAUUCAUUAUUUUUAAUAAACACAAGAUUUGUUUUUAUACAAUCAAUGUAGAAUUUCUAAGGUCACUGAACCAUGAAUGAAGGUAUGGUUUACAUAUUACUGGGGUUCAUGAAUGUUAUAAAAAUAUUCUUUUAACAACUGACUAUUCUAACUUACUUAUUAUUAAUACACUAAAGCAGAAUAUUUGAUGUUGAAGCAUGUGUAAAAUAACUAUUUUAGUGUUACAUUUGAACAUGAAAAUCUCAAAAUUUGAGUUUACCUCUUUACUGCAUUUCAAUUACAAAUUUUAAAAUGUUAAUGUGCACAUUGCAAAUACUUGACCACUGGCAAAAAUAUAAAAUCUUAUUAAUGCAACAUUUUGU